UGCAGAAGGGGGCAGGUCUCACCCAAGCCCCUCGCGGGCUGAGGCUGUAAAGUGUUUUGUUGUUUGGGGUUUUUUUUUUAAGAUUUUAUUUAUUUAUUUAAUUGACACAGAGAGACAGAGCGGGAGAGGGAACACAAGCAGGGGGAGCAGCAGAGGCAGAGGGAGAAGCAGGCUCUCCGCUGAGCAGGGAGCCCGAUGCGGGGCUCCAUCCCAGGACGCUGGGAUCAUGACCUGAGCCGAAGGCAGUCGCUUAACAGACUGAGCCAGACUGAGCCACCCAGGCGCCCCGAGGCUGUAAAGUGUUAGAUGAAGAGAGGGUCAGAGCGAGCCCCUCCCUUCCUGCCAUGCGAUGGGAUACUAUACAGUUCAGGAAAGUAUUUUAAAACAUUGGGGUUUUUCUGGGGCGCCUGGGUCGCUCAGUCCUUAAGUGUCUGCCUUCAGCUCAGGUCAUGAUCCCGAGGUCUGGGAUUGAGACCCGCAUCGGGCUCCCUGCUCGGCGGGAAGCCUGCUUCUCCCUUUCCCACUCCUGCUUGUGUUCCCGCUCUCGCUGUCUCUCUCUGUCAAAUAAAAUCUUAAAAAAAAAAAAAAAAAAAAAAAAAUUGGGUUUUUAUUUUUUAAAGACUUUAUUUUUCAGUAAUCUCUAUACCUGAAGUGGGGCUCGAACUUACAACCUUGAGAUCAAGAGUGGCAUGCUUUAUGGACUGAGCCAGCCAGGAGCCCCUAAAACAUUGUUAAAAGAAAGGGGUGCCUGGAUGGCUCUGUGGGUUAAGCAGCCAACUUUUUUUUUAAUUCAAUUAACAUAUAGUGUAUUAUUAGUUUUAGAGGCAGAGUUCAGUGAUUCAUUGGUCUUUUGUAACACCCAGUGCUCAUUCCAUCAGGUGCCCUCCUUAAUGCUCAUUACCCAGUUACCCCAUCCCCCCCUUCCCCCUCCAGCAACCCUGUUUAUGAUUAAGAGUCUCUUAUGGUUGGUCUCCCUCUCUGAUUUCAUUGUUUUAUUGUUCCCUCCCUUCCCCUAUGCUCCUCUGUUUUGUUUUUUAUAGUCCACAUAUGAGUGAAAUCAUGUAAUUGUCUUUCUCUGAUUGACUUAAUUUAAGCGGCCAACUUUUUGAUUUUGGCUCAGAUGGUGAUCUCAGGGUGGUGAGAUCCAGCCCCGCCUCCACCUCUGUGCUCAGGGGGGACUCUGCUUGGGAUUCUCUCUCCCUCUGCCCCUCCUCCUGCUUUCUUUCUCUCAAAUAAAUUAACAGGCUGAUCCCAAAAGGGAAGUAGCUGCCCUCCCUCUCCCAAAGGCAAAUGAAACUCAACUGUUCACAGUGGCCAUAUCUAGAUGGUGGAAUUAAAGCUUUGAAGAUGGGAAGGGACCAUGUGGCAAGGAAUGCACUGGCCUCUAUUUGCUGAGAGGACGCCCUACCUGAUGGCUAGCAAGGAAAUAAGGACCAUUAUCCUACAACAACUAAAAGGAGUUGACUUCUGCCACAAUCAUGUGAGCCUGGAAGAGGACUGAGCCUGGAAGAGGACCCCAAGCUCCAGACAAGAACACAGUCUGGCAGACAUCCUUAUUUCAGCAUCAUGAGAAUCUUAACAGAGAACUCAGUCACACCGUGCUGGAUUUCUGAACUACAGGCCUGUGAAAUAAAUGAGUGUUGUUUUAAGCAACUCAAUUUGGCUAAUUUGUUAUGCAACAAUAGAAAACUAAAAAUCUCUCUCUCACACACACAGUGCAAACACAAAUGCCAAAUGCCCUGUUUACUUACACUUUUAUUAAUAAAGACAACAGAAGAAUGAGGUUUCAAUAUUUAUUCAAGUUUUACUUUAAGUGAUGUUAAUUACAGCAUUUGAAGGGGAGGAUCUAAUUCCACACAAAAUGGAAGACUCUAAAAUGUACCCAUUAAAUGGCUAAAAAAUAAACCAAGUGGCGAGAAUAGAACAAGUCCAAUUUAGAUUCCGAGUGUUGUCACAAUGUGAUUACAGUCACAGAGACUCUUCCCAGAUCAGAGAUGGGACUUUUAGAAGCUAUUUCAUACUCUGGUGCAGGGGCAGAAAACCACAACAUGAGAGGGAAUUAAGUCCUGAAUUAUUGGCUUCAUCACAUCCAUCUUCCCAAAAUGGCACAAAAGAAACAGCUACCACACCCUGCAGACUACUUUUGGUGUAAAAGAGGUGAUGGACUGGGGUGAAACAGGUGAGGAAAAUCUGUCUAAAAAAGUCUCUUUCAGAUGGGUUUAUACACACCAUCAGUGAGUCUCUCCUUUGGGUAGGAAACCCAGUUCAAUUCUCAGGAAGUCAUAAUUUCAUUCAUGUACUCCAUACCAAUGAACAAAGUGCCUAUAAAUUAUCAGCUUCCAUUUGCAGCCAUUUCUAGAUAAAAAAGAAA